UAACCAAUCACAGAAGAGAAUGAAGUCAGUCAAAAUCAAAGUUUACUGGUCACGUACACAUGAAGCAAGAUGAUUAAACCGGAAAAUAGAUAUAAAUAAAUUAAGAAAUAAAGUCAGAGACCAGAAUAUAAAUAUAUACAUAUAUAUAAGAUCAAUCAAUCAAUGAGCUAGAGGGAGAUAGAGACAGAAAGAGGAGAGAUGGCGAGAGAGAGAGAUGGCCUAGGGACAGAGACAGAAGAUAUUGUUACAGGCUCAGUUCCUGUUUCCUGUGCGAGUCUCUAGAAGAGGAAGAGGAGUUGAGUCAAAUCUGAAAUGGCUGCCGGUAACACUUAGUUACCACGUCUACUACAGCUGCUAGUGACUGAAACACUAUCUAUUUAUAGUGUGUGUGUGUGUGUGUGUGUGUGUGUGUGUGUGUGUGUGUGUGUGUGUGUGUGUGUGUGUGUGUGUGUGUGUGUGUGUGUGUGUGUGUACACGUUUCAGUAGAGACAGAGAGGAAAACACGUUUCAGUAGAGACAGGGAGGAGAGGAAAACAGGUUUCAAUAGAGACAGAGAGGAGAGGAAAACACGUUUCAAUAGAGACAGAGAGGAGAGGAAAACACGUUUCAAUAGAGACAGAGAGGAGAGGAAAACAGGUUUCAAUAGAGACAGAGAGGAGAGGAAAACACGUUUCAAUAGAGACAGAGAGGAGAGGAAAACACGUUUCAAUAGAGACAGAGAGGAGAGGAAAACACGUUUCAAUAGAGACAGAGAGGAGAGGAAAACACGUUUCAAUAGAGACAGAGAGGAGAGGAAAACAGGUUUCAAUAGAGACAGAGAGGAGAGGAAAACACGUUUCAAUAGAGACAGAGAGGAGAGGAAAACACGUUUCAGUAGAGACAGAGAGGAAAACAGGUUUCAGUAGAGACAGAGAGGAGAGGAAAACAGGUUUCAGUAGAGACAGAGAGGAAAACAGGUUUCAGUAGAGACAGAGAGGAAAACACGUUUCAGUAGAGACAGAGAGGAAAACACGUUUCAGUAGAGACAGAGAGGAAAACAGGUUUCAGUAGAGACAGAGAGGAGAGGAAAACACGUUUCAGUAGAGACAGAGAGGAAAACAGGUUUCAGUAGAGACAGAGAGGAAAACAGGUUUCAGUAGAGACAGAGAGGAGAGGAAAACACGUUUCAGUAGAGACAGAUGAAAACAGGUUUCAGUAGAGACAGAGAGGAGAGGAAAACAGGUUUCAGUAGAGACAGAGAGGAGAGGAAAACACGUUUCAGUAGAGACAGAGAGGAGAGGAAAACAGGUUUCAGUAGAGACAGAGAGGAAAACACGUUUCAGUAGAGACAGAGAGGAGAGGAAAACAGGUUUCAGUAGAGACAGAGAGGAGAGGAAAACACGUUUCAAUAGAGACAGAGAGGAAAACAGGUUUCAGUAGAGACAGAGAGGAGAGGAAAACAGGUUUCAGUAGAGACAGAGAGGAGAGGAAAACAGGUUUCAGUAGAGACAGAGAGGAGAGGAAAACACGUUUCAGUAGAGACAGAGAGGAGAGGAAAACACGUUUCAGUAGAGACAGAGAGGAGAGGAAAACACGUUUCAAUAGAGACAGAGAGGAAAACACGUUUCAGUAGAGACAGAGAGGAGAGGAAAACAGGUUUCAGUAGAGACAGAGAGGAGAGGAAAACACGUUUCAAUAGAGACAGAGAGGAAAACAGGUUUCAGUAGAGACAGAGAGGAAAACAGGUUUCAGUAGAGACAGAGAGGAGAGGAAAACAGGUUUCAGUAGAGACAGAGAGGAGAGGAAAACAGGUUUCAGUAGAGACAGAGAGGAAAACAGGUUUCAGUAGAGACAGAGAGGAGAGGAAAACAGGUUUCAGUAGAGACAGAGAGGAGAGGAAAACAGGUUUCAGUAGAGACAGAGAGGAAAACAGGUUUCAGUAGAGACAGAGAGGAGAGGAAAACAGGUUUCAGUAGAGACAGAGAGGAGAGGAAAACAGGUUUCAGUAGAGACAGAGAGGAGAGGAAAACAGGUUUCAGUAGAGACAGAGAGGAAAACAGGUUUCAGUAGAGACAGAGAGGAAAACACGUUUCAGUAGAGACAGAGAGGAAAACAGGUUUCAGUAGAGACAGAGAGGAGAGAUGAACAGAGUGUUCAGUGUUCCUGUCUCUACAGCCUGUUCUGCUGAGGUUUCUGUCUCUGUUCGAGUCUGUGGCUGCAGAGGCGACGCUCAGUUUCCGCUACAACAGACCGAGAGCGAGAAAGAGAUUGAUGAAGAGAAGGAGAGAGAGAGAAACAGCGAGAGGUAAAGAGAGAGCCGGGACGUGUAUAACAGAGAUAGAGAGCAAGAUGUAGAU